rfam:Bacillus subtilis subsp. subtilis str. 168 complete genome.
CUCUUAUCGAGAGUUGGGCGAGGGAUUGGCCUUUUGACCCCAACAGCAACCGACCGUAAUACCAUUGUGAAAUGGGGCGCACUGCUUUUCGCGCCGAGACUGAUGUCUCAUAAGGCACGGUGCUAAUUCCAUCAGAUUGUGUCUGAGAGAUGAGAG